rnacentral:rRNA from 1 species
GAUGAACGCUGGCGGCGUGCUUAACACAUGCAAGUCGAGCGAAGCACUUUUGCGGAUUUCUUCGGAUUGAAGCAAUUGUGACUGAGCGGGCGACGGGUGAAGGUAACGCGUGGUAACCUGCCUCAUACAGGGGGAUAACAGUUGGAAACGGCUGCUAAUACCGCAUAAGCCCACAGGUCGGCAUCGACCAGAGGGAAAAGGAGUGAUCCGCUUUGAGAUGGCCUCGCGUCCGAUUAGCUAGUUGGUGAGGUAACGGCCCACCAAGGCGACGAUCGGUAGCCGGCCUGAGAGGGUGAACGGCCACAUUGGGACUGAGACACGGCCCAA